GACGAACGCUGGCGGCGUGCUUAACACAUGCAGUCGUACGGUAAGGCCCUUUCGGGGGUACACGAGUGGCGAACGGGUGAGUAACACGUGAGUAACCUGCCCACAACUUUGGGAUAACGCUAGGAAACUGGUGCUAAUACUGGAUAUGUGCUCCUGCUGCAUGGUGGGGGUUGGAAAGCUCCGGCGGUUGUGGAUGGACUCGCGGCCUAUCAGCUUGUUGGUGGGGUAGUGGCCUACCAAGGCGGCGACGGGUAGCCGGCCUGAGAGGGUGACCGGCCACAUUGGGACUGAGAUACGGCCCAGACUCCUACGGGGGGCAGCAGUGGGGAAUAUUGCACAAUGGGCGCAAGCCUGAUGCAGCAACGCCGCGUGCGGGAUGACGGCCUUCGGGUUGUAAGCCGCUUUCAGCAGGGACGAAGCUUUUUGUGACGGUACCUGCAGAAGAAGCACCGGCUAACUACGUG
rnacentral:rRNA from 1 species